ensembl:lncRNA
GCACCAAAUCAGCCGCAGGAGCACAGGUGAAGGCAAUUCAGCUGUGUGACCAGAAGGGGUGAAGCCAGGCUCCACCUCUCCUAGACCCCAUUUAAGGGCUGACUGCCACUGAGGAAGGAUCUCUUCUUGGAGAUUGCUCCUUGUGGAGUUUUUGCAAGCCUACAACACCGCGAAUUGAUUUAUGGUGCUGCAGAUCCUAUCUGGCUGCUCUGCCCAGAGCACGUGCUUGGAAAAAGGACCUGGACAAGGAGCCUCACUGUCGUCGUUGCUGUUUUGUCUACAACUUUCCUUACUCACCCCUUAAGUUAGAGCAGUUUCUUCCAAACCGCGAUAAAUUGGUUUCUUACUCCCUUGUGCUCACAUCGGUAUUUUGAGUGGUUGUGUCCCAAAUCUCGGGAGGAAAACAGAGCAAACAACAGGAUCAGAGGCCAUGGGCACGGGCUGAAGCACAGGAAGCUCUCUCUGAGCACCAGGCAGCACUGCUGUGCUGUGCGGGUGACAGAGCGCUGGCACAGGCUGCCCAGAGGCUGUGAGGUCUCCUUGGAGAUCUUCAAAACCACCUGGAUGUGGGCCUGGGCACCUGCAGUGGGUGUCCCUGCUGGGGCCUGUGCCAACCUCAGCCACCCUGUGAUGAUUCUGUGAUUCCCUCAGGUCUGGUCUCAGUGGAGGCAGUGCGUCUUCACCAUUAUGCACAUACACUGCCUUCCCUUCAUCGCUGGAGCUAUAAGAGAGAUGUGUCAUGUUUGAUUGGGAAAAUAUCGAUGUCGGUGGGAAAUCCCUGAGCAAAACUUCGUCACACGCUUUAAAGGAGGAGAAAGAUUCACUAUUUCCUCGUACAGGGCAGAGUGCUCCCCGUGAAUAACUGGACCCAACCUAAAAGCAGAAGGAAGUGUCUUUUUAAAGAACAGAGGUGUGGUGAUGACACUGUCAUGCUUCAUAGGCCUUGUGUAACCGGUGACGUGUGCGGCUUCUGAAGAGCCGGUUCCCCAGUCAGGCUGAGGUCACUCCCCAAGAAGAACAAUAAAAGGCCAAUAAGUUGGCUGGCUGCAGGGAUCUGCCCCUUUCCCCCAGUAAAAAGAUAUUCGCUGGAUACAAACAUGGGUUUCUGUGGACUGGCAUGACUGCUGUGGUGGUUUGCGUAAAUCCAAGCUGGAAGUUUUGAAAGGGGAGAAUGCCAACCCAACAGACUGAGUCUACGGCCGCUAAGCGCCCUGAAGCCGCAAGGAACAGGCAGUUCCAUGCUGAGGGCACGUGGUUACCUACAGUCGUAUCUAUGUAAAUGUCUCCACACUGACUUGUUCAGCAAUUUACAACUUUCAAAUUACGGUUGUUUAAAGGGUGUGAAAAGGCUUUAUGUCAAGAAAUUGCUUUCAUGUUCAACUGGAUGCAAGCUAGAGUCUACAAUAGGGGAACUGGUUCUCCAGUAAAGGUUGUUCAGCACACUGGCCCAAACCUGGCCUGCUCUUGCACUCAUGGCAGAGUUCUUCAGGGCAAUAUGAAAAUACAUCUUUCCUGCUUUCCUACAAGAAGUGUAUGUACGUUUAUUUAACUGAGGGAUGAUCCUAAUCUGCAGUAAUUCUGCAGGCAUUGGUGAAUGACGUUGGAAAUAGGGAAGUGAAAUGGCCAGGGAUUUCCAAGACAAAGAAGAAUGAGUUACAGAUAAAGUUGCAUCCUAUUGAUACACUCAUCAUCUGGGAAGAAGCCUGCUGGAUCAUUGCUUCCCCAUCUCUCUGUAGCCUGCUGUCAACCCAGUAGUACACAACCCUACUGAACUCAAAGCUGCAAGAUUCUCAGCCAAGGAAGAGUGCUUCACCGUGCUGUGGGUGUGCUUGACAAGUUCCACUAACAAUGGGAUGCUUUCACUCAUUUACCUGCAGUGACUGACCUUGGCAUGUGAGCAGCACUGGCAGCAGGACCCCUCCAGAGGCUGCUCUCCCAGCCUUCACAGUGAUUUGGACUGGUCUUCAUGUUGAACUGGACAGUUCAACUCUUGUUCCUCAGAGUUUUUGGAGUGGAAUGGGUUUGGAAGAGGUAACUCGUGUAGAAAAGCUAC